GACGACGACGUUGAUAGGCUGGGUGUGUAAGUGCAGCGAUGCAUUGAGCUAACCAGUACUAAUGAACCGUGAGGCUUAACCUU
rnacentral:rRNA from 1 species